CAUUGUUCUGGGCUCACAGCCCGAGCAGGGGCCCUUGCUCUCAGGAGCCUCCAGCUCUUUCUGGACCUGAGCCCCGGGAGCCUUCACUACGCCCAGAUGUGCUUCCUGUGGAAGGAGACCCACAGAUGACACAGAAAAUCUGAGCAGCAGGUGAAUCCGAAGGACUGCCCGGAACCCCAGAGCAUGGCAGUGGGUGAGCAGACCUCCCUGUCCUGGGCAUCCCUGUGGCCAUGGAGCUCCUGGGUGAGCAGCUGCUCUGAAACAAGUCUGGUGAAGAACACAGCAGGACUCCUGAACAUCCUUCAUUAAAAUAAACAUUUAUCUAUGGAAACCAGAA